rnacentral:rRNA from 1 species
CAAUAGCGUAUAUUAAAGUUGUUGCAGUUAAAAAGCUCGUAGUUGGAUUUCGGGGCAGCCUGGCUGGUCCGCCGCAAGGCGAGUACUGGUCAGCCGCCCUUCCUCUCGAAAGCCCCGACUGCUCUUUAUUGCAGUGGUCGGGUAGUUCGGGACGUUUACUUUGAAAAAAUUAGAGUGUUCAAGGCAGGCCUACGCCUGAAUACAUUAGCAUGGAAUAAUGGAAGAGGACCUCGGUCCUAUUUUGUUGGUUUCCUGGACCGAAGUAAUGAUUAAGAGGGACAGUUGGGGGCAUUCGUAUUUAAUUGUCAGAGGUGAAAUUCUCGGAUUUAUGAAAGACGAACAACUGCGAAAGCAUUUGCCAAGGAUGUUUUCAUUAA